rnacentral:lncRNA from 1 species
AAGUUACACAGACAAUAACGAAAAAUUAAACACCACACAUAAAAUUUAUCAAACUAGUUAAGAAAUACAUGGUGCAGUCAUGCAGUAUAAAUACAAUAGAAUCAUAGGGUAAUUUUGCAUAAAUAUCUUCAGAGUACCAAGAACAAUUUGUCACAAAAUUAUAAAACAUGAUAAAAAAAAAAGAACAGGUAGCAGACAAGCUAUUUGUUACUUUUUGUUUUGCUUCCAAGGCUUCCUCAGCUGCCUUUAUCUUGGCAACAGAAUCAUCUUCAUCAUCCCUGCUUAAGAAAACA